rnacentral:rRNA from 1 species
CCUACGGGUGGCAGCAGUGGGGAAUAUUGGACAAUGGGCGCAAGCCUGAUCCAGCAAUGCCGCGUGUGUGAAGAAGGCCUGCGGGUUGUAAAGCACUUUAAGCAGGGAAGAAUGGACUAAGGCUAAUAUCCUUGGUCAGUGACGUUACCUGCAGAAUAAGCACCGGCUAACUCCGUGCCAGCAGCCGCGGUAAUACGGAGGGUGCGAGCGUUAAUCGGAAUUACUGGGCGUAAAGCGCGCGUAGGCGGUUGGCUAAGUUUGCUGUGAAAGCCCCGGGCUUAACCUGGGAACUGCAGUGAAUACUGGUCAGCUAGAGUAUGGUAGAGGGUAGUGGAAUUUCCGGUGUAGCAGUGAAAUGCGUAGAGAUCGGAAGGAACACCAGUGGCGAAGGCGGCUAUCUGGACCAAUACUGACGCUGAGGUGCGAAAGCGUGGGGAGCAAACAGGAUUAGAUACCCCAGUAGUC